rnacentral:lncRNA from 1 species
UUGAUUCAUACUCGCUGAUUUAGACCAUCUGAGGUUGAUUUUCUUAUUGUAUUAAAUGCUUGCAAUCACUCUUGAUAUGUUGUGCCUGAGUUGUGACAGAACCGAUUAUUAACGUGCCAUAAUAUUUUAUUGAUGUUGAAUUUGAAGCUUUUGUUGUAUUAAUGGAGCUUGUCCUUUAGCGCGUACAACGUAUGUUUAUUAUUCCUCG